ensembl:lncRNA
CAGGGAGGGAGCUGCUCCCGGCUGCGGCUGCAGCUCCGUGUGUGGCUGCAGAUGAGAUAGCGCGGCCCCAACCGCCCCAUUUGGGGUGCAGCUGGUUUGGGGUGCGCCAGCUGCAGGGCCAACCCCCUGCACACAAAGCAGGGGCUGUUCACCCCAACUGUCACUAACCCCGGGGCAUGGGGAACCACACAGCACCCCAGGGAGCUGCGUUCUUCCUGGCAUUUUGUUUUCUUUGCAUUUUCAUCUCUCGCCUCCAGUGGACACAGCACAGCCUGGCACCUCGUGCACAGGCCCACAGCUCGUGACUGGUCCACACCCUCUGCCUGUUCCAGAUCCCUGUGCUGGGAAUCUGCUCUGGGAGAGCAGGAGGCCUCCAGCUGGCUUGUCUGAGAUGCCUCAGCCAGGGGCAGCCUAACUGACUGUGAUAAAUUACGAGAUCCUAAAAAUGAAUGAAGAUGGGAAGCUCUUAUGCCAAGCUCUCCUUGCUGAUAGGAUGCGGGGCAGAUGCGCCUGGACCUGGCACCCAGAGAGGUGUGCAUUGGCUGAAGGAAUGUAAUCAGGAGAAGCGGAGAGGAAGCCACAUGCUGAACCAUCAGCCGUGAACGUCCCUGGUGUGAGUGCUUCAUCCCACUGGGAGGAGGAAUUGGGCAGGGCAAUCUCAUGAGAAGCAGUAUAGCCAAGUGCUUCCCAUUCUGUGACGCAUGUCCAAAUCUUAAUAGAAGCUGACAGCCUGACCCUGUUACCGAGUUCUGGCCAAAUAAAAUCAUCCUGAUAGUUCCCUGGAGAAAGCUGCCAUGGCUUUAGUAUGUCUUCUCAAAACAUUUAUCCAAGUGACUUAAAAAACCCCUGCAGUUGGUCAGAGCUCAGAAGGCAGCGUCCCCCAUCCUGGCACCUCAAUCCUGCAUGAAACCACGAUGGCUGGAGGGCUCCAAAUGCACUCACUUUGUGGGGUGUUUCAGUAAAUUAGCAGCUCAUUCUUUUGCCAUAGCAGCUCAUUGCUUUGAGAGGCAGCACUUCUCAAUUGGCCACAUCUGUGCAGCCUACAGCAUGCAUUGGACCUUUGGCCUUCGGAUGUCGGCGUGGUUGGAUGGAGCUGGGCAUGCUCCGAUUGCAUCCUCAGAAUGGGUGUGACAAUGGGGAGGUGUUUACCCAGAAAACAAACAACCUUCAAUCUCAUCUCAGCUUGAAACUGCCACCAUUUGGGUUCUGCAGUGCGAGGACCAGCAGCUCUGCCAGUGAGCUCUCCCUUUGACAUGGGAAUGCAAAGCACCAGGGCUCAGAGAAGGAAAGUUGGCAAGCACCUGCAUGUGGUUUUUUUUUUUAAUAGCCUUUUAUUUAUUAAGCUACUUUGGAGUCUGAUUCACUUGCUUUGCUCGAUAUUUAUUAGUACUUCACCUGCCUUGAACUGGGGAGCUGCAGGCACUUUGAUAAAUGGAUUGCCUUUCCUGGAACGAUGUCCACACAUCAGCUAAUGGGGAUCUUCCAGUUCCCUGGUGUGUCUGCCAAGGCACCAUCCUGUAGAUCAGUGGUGGCUAAAAGAAUAACCCCAGCCCCAGCUUGCUCAGGCACAGACCUCCCCACUUGGGGUGGUUUGGGUAGGGGUUGUGCUGCCAUCUGAGCUAUCCAUUUAAUUUAGGGCUGUCCCAUUUGGAAGAGAUGGGAGCCUGUCUGGAGCAGAGGAGGCUCAGGGGAGACUUUAUUGCUCUCUACAGCUCCCUGAAAGGAGGUUGUGAGGAGGUGGGUGUCAGCCUCCGCUCCCUGGUAACAGUGACAGGAUGAGAGAGAAUGGCCUUAGGAUGUACCAGGAGAGGUUCAGGUUUGUUAUUAGGAACAAUUUCUUCUUAGAAAGAGCAGUACUGCAGUGGCACAGCUGCCCAUGGAGGUGGUGAGGUCACCAUCCCUGUGGGGAUGUGGCACUGAAGGACGUGGGCAGUGGGC